rnacentral:rRNA from 1 species
UACGGAGGAUCCAAGCGUUAUCCGGAAUCAUUGGGUUUAAAGGGUCCGUAGGCGGUUUGGUAAGUCAGUGGUGAAAGCCCAUCGCUCAACGGUGGAACGGCCAUUGAUACUGCCAGACUUGAAUUAUUAGGAAGUAACUAGAAUAUGUAGUGUAGCGGUGAAAUGCUUAGAGAUUACAUGGAAUACCAAUUGCGAAGGCAGGUUACUACUAAUGGAUUGACGCUGAUGGACGAAAGCGUGGGUAGCGAACAGGA